AUUGAACGCUGGCGGCAUGCCUUACACAUGCAAGUCGAACGGUAACAGGUCUUCGGAUGCUGACGAGUGGCGAACGGGUGAGUAAUACAUCGGAACGUGCCCAGUCGCGGGGGAUAACGAAGCGAAAGCUUUGCUAAUACCGCAUACGAUCUACGGAUGAAAGCGGGGGAUCGCAAGACCUCGCGCGAUUGGAGCGGCCGAUGGCAGAUUAGGUAGUUGGUGGGGUAAAGGCUUACCAAGCCUACGAUCUGUAGCUGGUCUGAGAGGACGACCAACCACACUGGGACUGAGACACGGCCCAGACUCCUACGGGAGGCAGCAGUGGGGAAUUUUGGACAAUGGGCGCAAGCCUGAUCCAGCAAUGCCGCGUGCAGGAUGAAGGCCUUCGGGUUGUAAACUGCUUUUGUACGGAACGAAAAGCUCUGGGUUAAUACCCUGGGGUCAUGACGGUACCGUAGGAAUAAGCACCGGCUAACUACGUGCCAGCAGCCGCAGUAA
rnacentral:rRNA from 1 species